rnacentral:rRNA from 1 species
UACGAAGGGGGCUAGCGUUGCUCGGAAUCACUGGGCGCAAAGGGUGCGUAGGCGGUCUUUUAAGUCGGGGGUGAAAUCCUGGAGCUCAACUCCAGAACUGCCUUCGAUACUGGAAGACUUGAGUCCGGGAGAGGUGAGUGGAACUGCGAGUGUAGAGGUGAAAUUCGUAGAUAUUCGCAAGAACACCAGUGGCGAAGGCGGCUCACUGGCCCGGUACUGACGCUGAGGUGCGAAAGCGUGGGGAGCAAACAGG